AGCGAACGCUGGCGGCAGGCCUAACACAUGCAAGUCGAACGGAUCCUUCGGGAUUAGUGGCGGACGGGUGAGUAACACGUGGGAACGUGCCCUUUGGUUCGGAACAACUCAGGGAAAUUUGAGCUAAUACCGGAUGUGCCCUUCGGGGGAAAGAUUUAUCGCCAUUGGAGCGGCCCGCGUCUGAUUAGCUAGUUGGUGAGGUAACGGCCCACCAAGGCGACGAUCAGUAGCUGGUCUGAGAGGAUGAUCAGCCACACUGGGACUGAGACACGGCCCAGACUCCUACGGGAGGCAGCAGUGGGGAAUCUUGCGCAAUGGGCGAAAGCCUGACGCAGCCAUGCCGCGUGAAUGAUGAAGGUCUUAGGAUUGUAAAAUUCUUUCAGCGGGGACGAUAAUGACGGUACCCGCAGAAGAAGCUCCGGCUAACUUCGUG
rnacentral:rRNA from 1 species